UGUCAAAUUCUCAUAUUUUUAAAAAAAACAGAAGGCUUAGGGGCUGUUCACAUAUGACGUCACACUCGAAUGAUUGGAGGGGGUACAGCAAAACGUGACGGUUCUAACAAAUUUGGGUUAAAUUUGACCCUUUUUGUGUGACGAGGGGGAGGAGGGUGUCGAAAAUUCCGUAAAAUAGCGUGACGUCAUAUGUAAACAGCCCCUU